UACGGGGGGGGUAAGCGUUGUUCGGAAUUACUGGGCGUAAAGGGCUCGUAGGCGGCCAACUAAGUCGGACGUGAAAUCCCUCAGCUUAACUGGGGAACUGCGCCCGAUACUGGAUGGCUUGGAUUUGGGAGAGGGAUGCGGAAUUCCAGGUGUAGCGGUGAAAUGCGUAGAGAUAUGGAGGAACACCAGUGGCGAAGGCGACUUUCUGGUCUGUAACUGACACUGAGGCGCGAAAGCGUGGGGAGCAAACAGG
rnacentral:rRNA from 1 species